rnacentral:rRNA from 1 species
CCUACGGGCGGCAGCAGUGGGGGAUAUUGCACAAUGGGGGAAACCCUGAUGCAGCGACGCCGCGUGGGCGAAGAAGUAUUUCGGUAUGUAAAGCCCUAUCAGCAGGGAAGAAGAAAUGACGGUACCUGAGUAAGAAGCACCGGCUAAAUACGUGCCAGCAGCCGCGGUAAUACGUAUGGUGCAAGCGUUAUCCGGAUUUACUGGGUGUAAAGGGAGCGCAGGGGGCACGGCAAGCCUGAUGUGAAAGCCCGCGGCCCAACCGCGGGACUGCAUUGGGAACUACCGGGCUGGAGUGCCGGAGAGGUAGGCGGAAUUCCUAGUGUAGCGGUGAAAUGCGUAGAUAUUAGGAGGAACACCAGUGGCGAAGGCGGCCUACUGGACGGUGACUGACGCUGAGGCUCGAAAGCGUGGGGUGCAAACAGGAUUAGAUACCCUUGUAGUC